rnacentral:misc_RNA from 1 species
CACGAACCGGACGAACGUUAUUCGGAAUCACUGGGCUUAAAGCGUGCGUAGGCGGCCUGGAAGGUGGGGUGUGAAAGCCCUCGGCUCAACCGAGGAAUUGCGCUCCAAACCACCCGGCUCGAGGGAGAUAGAGGUGAGCGGAACUCACGGUGGAGCGGUGAAAUGCGUUGAUAUCGUGAGGAACACCGGUGGCGAAAGCGGCUCACUGGAUCUCUACUGACGCUGAGGCACGAAAGCUAGGGUAGCGAACGGG